rnacentral:rRNA from 1 species
GACGUAGGAGCCAAGCGUUAUCCGAAUUCACUGGGCGUAAAGCGCGUGCAGGCGGUUCGUUAAGUUGGAUGUGAAAUCUCCUGGCUCAACUGGGAGAGGACGUACAAGACUGGCGGACUCGAGGACGGUAGAGGGAGGUGGAAUUCCCGGUGUAGUGGUGAAAUGCGUAGAUAUCGGGAGGAACACCAGUGGCGAAAGCGGCCUCCUGGACCGUUUCUGACGCUGAGAUGCGAAAGCUAGGGGAGCAAACGGG